AAGGUACCUGCAGUGAGUUUGCCUUAAAACAGCAGCUGCAGUUGCUGUAAAUCUCUCUGCAGUUCCACGAUGUUUUCCAAAAAUGCACUGAGUCGUCUCCAAGUUCAAAGCAUUCAGCAAACAAUGGCAAGGCAGAGCCACUAGAAACCCGUUCCUGAUUUCCAUGACAAAUAUGGUAAUGCUAUAUUAGCCUGAGGGGCCAUUUUCUGUAUUGCUGUUUGGACAUACCCAGCAACACCAACUGGAAUAGAAGGAGACCUGUCCUCUGUUGGCAGAGUCACCCCAAAGGAAUGGAGAAAUCCGUAAUCAUGCCAGCAAUGUAAUACUGAAUUUCCAAACCAACUCAAAAUUGAUGUCAAGUAAAAACACUGUGUACCUACUAAAUAUGGCAUCUUGAAGAAAUGAAGUACACUUGAAACCAAA
rnacentral:lncRNA from 1 species